UUCCAUCUCUCUUUCUCAUGCUACAAUUAGGGUUCUAAAGAUAGAAAGAUGUGUAGGAGCCAAGAUUGUUCGGCUGUGACCGCAAGCAGGUUUUAGUGGAGGUCCUCAUCGAUGAAUAACGACCUCGGGCGGGAGUUUGAACCGAACCUGACAACAACAAACACUGCACCAAUGACAUAAUUUUUGCCAGAUUUUGGAAACCUAUGAUGUCUAAUUUCUUCAAGUUUCUUUCCUUCUUGUAAUAGUUCCAAAACAUCAAGAAUUUACUCAAAUUAUAUUCCCCAUCUCUCUAUUCUUUUCAAUAUCAAUUCUAAACCUUUCUUUACAAUUCAA